rnacentral:rRNA from 1 species
AAAUUGAAGAGUUUGAUCAUGGCUCAGAUUGAACGCUGGCGGCAGGCCUAACACAUGCAAGUCGAGCGGAAACGACACUAACAAUCCUUCGGGUGCGUUAAUGGGCGUCGAGCGGCGGACGGGUGAGUAAUGCCUAGGAAAUUGCCUUGAUGUGGGGGAUAACCAUUGGAAACGAUGGCUAAUACCGCAUAAUGCCUACGGGCCAAAGAGGGGGACCUUCGGGCCUCUCGCGUCAAGAUAU